CUUGAAGAAACCUCCGGGUAUGAAAUGAGGAAAAUUUCUCACUGAAAAAAUCAGAAAAUCUCAUCAACAACAGUGAAAAAGCUAAGCCCUCCACUAAUCUCUCAAAUUUUGAUUUCAGAUCCAACAAGAUCCGCGAAGACUUGAUGGAAAACAUAGUAAUGUUACUUUCGAUGAAUUCCCUUAUUAUCUCAGGAAAAAAAAAGAACCAAUAGAAGAAAAAGAAGCUAAAGGGUGGUGUUGUAGACUCUAACAGAUAUAUCAAUAUGUACCAUAUUUUACCCAGUACAUAUCGAUAUGUACCGGUGUCAAUGCUAAGCUUUGACUCUUUGUGUCCUAUAAAUUUCUGUUGUCUGAUAUGUUAUAAGUAUCCAUUUAUUUCUAAAAUAAUGCAUGCUCUCUCAAUAGAAUGAUGUGAUACCAUGUACAUCCUUCCAAGUGCUACUGUGAGUAUUUAGACCAUUAACCUCUCAAACUCUAAGGGUAUUCUAGCUUAAACCCUUGCACACUGCUUGACAAUUUUGAUUCCAGAACUAAAUAUAGUUUCAUUUUACCCUUUAUUUUUGGUCACACUUUAGAAACUGUCUUUGGUUCUAUGCAUCAUGUUUGUCUUGAAUUAGAUUUUUCAUAUAGUUUCUAUGUAUCUAUAAGUAACACUAAACUGAUUAUGUUUUACUAAUAUGCAGUUGUUAUCUAGUUUGUUUUACUCAGUAUAUUUCAAUAUCUUCAAUACAUGUGUAUACGUGCUGCAAUUUUCUGUUUUGAUUUAAUUAUUUUUUUUGGGAUUUUGUUCAAAAAUUGAUUUCAAAUAUAUGAAUUUCUUCCUAUUAUAGGGGUUAUAUCUUACAAUAGCUAUGAACCUAUAUGAGAGUGACCAUUAGAAAGACAUCUAUUUUCUAAA